rnacentral:rRNA from 1 species
GACGAACGCUGGCGGCGUGCCUAAUACAUGCAAGUCGAACGAAGCUUUUUUAACUGGUGCUUGCACCGACUUAAACAACUGAGUGGCGAACGGGUGAGUAACACGUGGGUAACCUGCCCCAAAGCGGGGGAUAACAUUUGGAAACAGAUGCUAAUACCGCAUAACCACAGAAACCACAUGGUUUCUGUGCCAAAGAUGGUUUCGGCUAUCACUUUGGGAUGGACCCGCGGCGUAUUAGCUAGUUGGUAAGGUAAUGGCUUACCAAGGCAAUGAUACGUAGCCGAACUGAGAGGCUGAUCGGCCACAUUGGGACUGAGACACGGCCCAAACUCCUACGGGAGGCAGCAGUAGGGAAUCUUCCACAAUGGACGAAAGUCUGAUGGAGCAACGCCGCGUGAGUGAAGAAGGUUUUCGGAUCGUAAAACUCUGUUGUCAGAGAAGAACGUGUGCGAGAGUAACUGUUCGUGCAGUGACGGUAUCUGGCCAGAAAGCCACGGCUAACUACGUGCCAGCCGCCGCGGUAA